GCCUAGUUAGCUUGGUUGGCAUAGCGUCUGCCUUGUAAGCGCUAGGCCGCGGGUUCGAUUCCCGCCCGGGGCG
rfam:Asian citrus Psyllid, Diaphorina citri - Florida Strain, whole genome shotgun sequence.